AGAGAGAGACAUGCGCGCAUAUCAAUAAGCGGAGGAAAAGAACCUAACAAGGAUUCCCUUAGUAACGGCGAGUGAAGCGGGAAGAGCUCAAAUUUGAAAUCUUAAAGGGUUUCCCUUUACGAGUUGUAGUUUAAAGAAGUGUUUUCUGUUGAGGUUUUGGUAAAAGUUCUUUGGAAUAGGACAUCAUAGAGGGUGAGAAUCCCGUAUUUGACCUUUACUUUCAACUUUGUGAUACACUUUCAAAGAGUCGGAUUGUUUGGGAAUGCAGUCCAAAAUGGGUGGUAAAUUUCAUCUAAAGCUAAAUAUUGGCGAGAGACCGAUAGCGAACAAGUACCGUGAGGGAAAGAUGAAAAGAACUUUGAAAAGAGAGUUAAACAGUACGUGAAAUUGUCAAAAGGGAAGCGUUUGACACCAGUGUUGUUUUUCUGAAAAUCAAUUAAAGAACUGUUUAUGCUAAGCUUGUUUAGACUUUAUCAGCUAACUGUUUAGUUUUGAGCUUUUCUUUAAUGCACUUUUCAGUUAACAAGUCAACAUCAAUUUCUUUUGCUGUAAAAAAGCUUGAGGAAGGUGGCUUGAGAUUCGUCUUAAGUGUUUAUAGCCUCUUGCCUAUGCAGUCGGAGAGAUUGAGGUCUGCAGCGUAGAUCCUUCGGGGCUAAAUGCAUUUGUGCUAAGUUAUAGCAUUUUAUAGACAACUUGUUGACUAUGAUUUGUCUUGUAGCUUACUCGCUUAUGUUAUUUUACCUACGCUUAGGAUGUUGAGCGCAUGUCUCUCUCU
rnacentral:rRNA from 1 species